UGCAUUUGUUCCAUUUGAAGAGGUACUUAUUGUUUUCUUAAAGUUUCUCUCUUCUUCAUUUAGUCUUGAAGCUACCGUAUAAAAAAUUGGAAGGUUGAAUCUAAAAUCUACCCUGCUUCUGUUAUUUGUUUUGUUAUGUCCACCAUAUUUCAGAAGAUAAUGACACAUGGCCAGAACCAUGUAUUUUUUUUCUCGGGUCAAGUACAGUUUUACUCGUCUCUCUUCGCCA
rnacentral:misc_RNA from 1 species